rnacentral:rRNA from 1 species
CGAACUAGUUUGAGCUAAAUAGCCCGGGCUUUUAGGCCAAUGAUGUGCGUCAUAUAGCACAAUUUAAAGGGCUACUUAGGGGUGAAAGGCUUAUCCAAAAACUAAGAUAUCUUGAUAUCAUAAAAAUGUAUUUAGUACUUCGGGCAAAUAUAGAGUGGUUAGGCUUUAUAUAUUUAUAAUAUUUAUUCUAUAGAAAUAAUGGUAUAAUCAUCUAUUACUUUUUAAGGUUAUUAUUCUAAUUUCCAAUUAUGUAUUUUAUAGGUGAUACUGUAUAAACUUAAAUUAACAUUGAUAAUGUUUUCAUAAGUACUUUUUUUAGACCAAGAUAAUGAACUCGGCAAGAUUUUCUUCAACUGUUUAUCAAAAACAUAACUAUAUGAAUGUUUAUAUAGCUAUUUCUGCUCAAUGUUUCUAUAAAUAGCCGCAGUACUUUGACUGUGCAAAGGUAGCAUAAUCAAUUGACUUAUAAUUGAAGUCUGGAAUGAAAGAAUCUAUGGGGAAAUACUGUUUCAUUUUGGUGUUAGGAAAUUAUUUAUUAGGUGAAAAAACCUAUAGGUAAAAAAUAGACGAGAAGACCCUUGAAAUUUUAAUUAAAAAGUUAAUAAUAUCUUUUUGUUGGGGCGACAAAGUAGCAAUAGAAAACCUACUUAGAGAAUAUGUAUUAUUUAUAAAGGUUAAAUAAAUUACUCUAGGGAUAACAGCAUAAUAUUUAAAAGUUUGUGACCUCGAUGUUGGACUAGGAAAAUAUAGUUUAGAAGACUAUUAUAAAGGCUCUGUU